AACAAACGUAAUCCAAUUCAAAAAAACUCAAAGAAAUUUCAAACAAACAAUAAAAUUCUUAAAGAAAUAUUAAAAUGAUCACAAAUUUUACUCAAAUAUAUGUCAAUUCAACCUUAAUUUAAUCCUAGUUAAAACCCUAUUGAAUUUCACUCAACUUUAGACCAAACUUAAUUAAAUCUUAAAUCCUAAUAAUUCCUAAAUCUUAAAUCAAAUUCUAAACAAAUCUUAAAUUAAAUCCUAUUCCAAACCCUAAACCCUAAACCAAACCCUAAAUCAAACCCUAAAACAAACCCUAAUCCAAUCCUAAACCCUAAACUAAAUCCUAUUCCAAACCCUAAACCCUAAACCAAACCCUAAAUCAAACCCUAAAACAAACCCUAAUCCAAUCCUAAACCCUAAACUAAACCUUAAAUCAAAUCCUAACUAAACCCUAAAUCCUAAUCCAAACCGUAAUCCAACCCUAAACACUAAUCCAAAUCUUAAAACCUAAAACAAACCUUAAAUCAAACUCUAAUCUAAACCUUAAUCCAACUCUAAACUCUAAUCCAAAUCCAAAACCCUAAACCAAACCUUAAUUCAAACCCUAACCAAAUCCUAAUCCAAACCCUAAUCCAAAUCUUAAAUCAAACCCUAAUUAAAUCCUAAACCCUAAUCCAAACUCUAAACCCUAAUCCAAACCCUAAUCCAAAUCCUAAUCCAAACCCUAAACCGAACCCUAGCCAAAUCCUAAUCCAAAUCCUAGUAAUUCCUAUAACACAUUUAAACCUCAAUAUCUACUGAAUAAACCAUUGAUCUCAAUUCAAAAUUUGCAUACUUCUUAAAAAUCAAAUUCAAAAUAAGCAAAAAAAUUUUGAAAAGGAUCGGAGAUACCAAAUUGACGAAAACCUCAAAAAUGUAUUUGGGUGUUAGCCGGCCUCCUUCUCCAAUCUUAUUGCCAACCUUCAAGAGCCAAUUUCUCUUCUUUGCGCUGUUCGAUUGGUUUCGAACUUGUCAUGGACAUUGUAAAACAAGUCUUAUAUCCUCUCACAUAAGUUUUACUCCAAUCCAACUAGUAGAUUGUAUGAAAUCUUAAAAACCCUCU
rnacentral:lncRNA from 1 species